AUACGGAGGAUCCGAGCGUUAUCCGGAUUUAUUGGGUUUAAAGGGUGCGCAGGCGGCCAUUUAAGUCAGCGGUUAAAUCGUGGGGCUCAACCCCAUUCUGCCGUUGAUACUGGGUGGCUUGAUUGCGGUCGAGGUUGGCGGAAUUCGUUGUGUGGCGGUGAAAUGCAUAGAUAUGAAGAAGAACACCGAUUGCGUAGGCAGCUGACCAGACCGCAAAUGACGCUCAUGCACGAAAGUGCGGGGAUCGAACAGGAUUAGAUACCCUGGUAGUCCGCACAGUAAACGAUGAAUACUUGUUUUCGGCGAUAUAAUGUCGGAGGCAAAGCGAAAGCGAUAAGUAUUCCACCUGGGGAGUACGCCGGCAACGGUGAAACUCAAAGGAAUUGACGGGG
rnacentral:rRNA from 1 species